GACGAACGCUGGCGGCGUGCCUAAUACAUGCAAGUCGAGCGGACGGAAGGAAGCUUGCUUCCUAAAGUCAGCGGCGGACGGGUGAGUAACACGUGGGCAACCUGCCCCUAAGAUCGGGAUAACUUCGGGAAACCGGAGCUAAUACCGGAUAUGAUUAUGUCUCACAUGAGACAUAAUGGAAAGACGGUUUCGGCUGUCACUUAGGGAUGGGCCCGCGGCGCAUUAGCUAGUUGGUGAGGUAACGGCUCACCAAGGCGACGAUGCGUAGCCGACCUGGGAGGGUGAUCGGCCAAACUGGGACUGAGACACGGCCCAGACUCCUACGGGAGGCAGCAGUAGGGAAUCUUCCGCAAUGGACGAAAGUCUGACGGAGCAACGCCGCGUGAGUGAAGAAGGUUUUCGGAUCGUAAAACUCUGUUGUUAGGGAAGAACAAGUACCAUAGUAACUGAUGGUACCUUGACGGUACCUAACCAGAAAGCCACGGCUAACUACGUGCCAGCAGCCGCGGUAACAC
rnacentral:rRNA from 1 species